UGGCCCCCCUCACCUCCACUCUCCAGGCUAACAGCCCAACCCACUGAAGGCCCCAAUGCGGUCCAUCUUCAGCCCAAAGCAGCCCCGGGGCAUGGCCUUCCAGGCCCAGUCUCCAGAGAGAGCUCGCUUGCGACUGGUGAGGGCUUUGCGCCAGAGCAGGGGGUGUGCAGCUUGGGCCCCCGACGGGAGGAGCGGCAAUGGGGGGAAGAGCAGCUGCGGGUCAGAACUGGACCCCUCCUUCAUGUCCUCCUCGGCCGGCAUGGAUUCGGAGUCCGAGGGCAGCAGCUGGGAAAGGAGCACCUGAGAAAGAGGGAUGAAUGAGGAGAUGGGUUAGGGUGGAUUGCCCAUGCUCCUGUACCCCACCCCACUGUCCCACUGUCCCUCUCCUUCCCUCAGACUCCAGCAGGACAUAAAAUGAUACCUGUGCAGAAGGCCCUGUGCCUGUGACCUUGCAUCCAGACCAAGGUCACUGAGCAGAGGGCUGGGCCCACAGCUACCCAGCCUGAGGUAAUUUUGCUACCUAAAGAGCAGGAAGGAAUGCUGUGGGCAUUGCUGUCUGUGUUCCUUGUCCUGCUGCUAUCAAAUAGUUCUCGUACUUGGAAAAUAAUGGAGGCAUCGGGCCUUGCUCCUUUUGGUGAAGCUGAGUGCUGCCAUGUGUUCAGACCAUUUUGUGGUGUUUCUUUUUUCCAGAGGGCUGCUAAUACUUGGUACCACAGCGAGGGAGAGGCAGAAUGGCAGCAUCACAGGGACUGUUUAUAUAAAGCAGUCAAGUAUCAGAACGGGCCUAAGGAAGGCAGGCUCCUCAUCUGCUGGAAAGUCUCCAGACUUUCUGUGCAAGUGGGCAUGCUCUAAUUUAAUUACACGCCUCCAUCACUGCCAGCAUCCUCCAGCAGCAGGGAGAUGGGUCAGGAGGCACCCUGGGGGCACACCACUGCUGCCCAUGGCAGCGGCCUGCAGUGGCUACUCCGUGUCUGUGCAUCACGCGGAUGCUUGCUGACCUAUGGCUGAGGAUGCCUUUGUGCAGUUUAGCUCCGUCCUCUCCAGCAGUGAGUUAAUGGAAGCAGACACAGGCAUCUUCAGUGAGGAGUGAAAGUGUCUCCAUGGUGAGUCAUAGCAGAGUCAGUCCUGUGUUUCUAGUUCAUAUCCUAGCUCUUUCCCUGCAGCUUUCUUCUUGGACAGGAUAGCUGAUGUGAAGACAGAGUGCUGGGGCUUAGGUUAGGGCUUGGUGACGAGGAAGCUGAGUUGAUUUAAAAGCCAUAAAUAUUGUUUCUGCAAUUGACGAAGUUAAAAGAUUUAAGAAAGAUUUAACAAAACAAAGAAGCCCUUCCCCCUGUAGGGGACUAUAAUUCAGGUGGCUGUUGCCACUGGGCUGAGUAAGAUAGGACUAUUCUUCUUGGAGCCAGAAGCCUCUGCAUGCAGUGAAGAGACCCACAGCCAAGAGCACUCACUAAAAAGGUGUUGUCUGUCCUCUACCUUGAAAUGCUGGUGCUCCCCGAGGAGCUGGGUUGUAAAGACAUAGUCAGCCUAGAGCUGAGGCUGAUGGUCUGAAGGGGAGGGAGCAGUCCUUGGGAGCUGGGAUGUUGGGUCACCACUCACGCCAUGUUCAAACACAACCUCCCCAAACUGCCCCUGCCACUCCCAAAGCCUCCCUCAGCUCCAUCCCGGUCCCUCAUACCUGGAGCCUUUGUCCUGGUAAGGACAUCGCUUGUACGCUGGCAGAGAGCAGAACUAGGAGGAGGAAAAGCGAGCAGGGCCAUGCUGGGAGCCCCAGCAUCUUCUCUUUAUUCGGGGGCUUAUGGGAGGUGAGGCAGGAUCUGUAGCCUCUGAGAGCCCCGUCCCCUCUUUGCCUUUAUAGUGUUGGUUCUGGCAGGCGCCUGCCCCCCAGCUCUGCUGCACGCCCCCCUGGAGCUCCUUAACCUUUCAGCCCUUUUGUCCAUGGUGAUAUAUUUCAGGGUGAGCUCAGUGAGACCCCUUCCUCUAAAGAAAAAAGACACAAAGGUGUUUGCUGAGUGUCUGGGAAGACAAAUGUGAGCCAAGCUGCUGCUGGCUGGGGCCUGGAGGUAUCUAUCAGGAUCAGGGUGAGACUUCAAGACACAUCCAGGAACAGGGUAUUGGAGGCUGCGGUAGACAGUGAUGCUGACAUUCUCUUAGGCAGAGUGCUGUUAAUGUUCUUGCUUUAACCACUGUGAGCACGAGCUGCAGCUCAGAUGGCAAUAGUCUCACUGCUGACUGCAGUGAGCUGUCGCAAAUCUGGUUUUGUGACAGUAUAGACUCUGUUUUUUAACACCUAUGUUUUGAUGAGCUGGUUGGCCAGGGGACACGGAGCUCCUGCUGCAGUAGAUGUAUGGAUUUCUGUGUUUGCUCUGAGAUCUCUGGCAGUGAUAGGAGCAUGGGUCUAAGUACAUGCAAGCACACAGCUUGCACGCUGGUUGUCCUGAGUCAUAGCUCAGUGUACACCAUCUGUGGGGCUGAGCUGAGUUUCCAGAGGAACCAGCACAGGAAAGCACUCAUCGAGGCUGAACUUGCACUUUCUCAAGCUCAGGUGCACAAUAGGAGUGGGAUGGCGAGGAGCAGACUCCUGCCUCCUAAAUCUUCAGGCUAUUAGCUGCCCCCCUCUUUGUUUACCUCUCUCAUUUUACGGUAGUUUCUCACCAGCUGAACAACGCAAUGAGGUCACUGUUUGAAAUCAGAGUGCAGAAGUCAGCCUGGGUGUAAAGACAGAAACUAAUCAGGAAAGUUUGCUGAGGGACAGAAAGGGGGGAUUCUACCCUAUUACAGGAGCAGUUGGGUGUGGGGGGGAGGUUUAAUAAUACCUUGAAUUUCCCUUUCUUCAGUAUCAUUGCAUACAGCAAUUGAGAUGAAAGUUGACAGGCAGUGUUCUGCUGUUUACUUGCUUUUUUUUUUUUUUUUGAAAGAAGAGAACCAGUCUUCUGCAGAGAGAACAAAACUCACAGUUCAGAUACUUGCCCUGUCUUACUUUCCCUCCUUCACAAGCAUUUUCCACUUGUUGCAGACCUAUGGUUCCCGUUCUUCUCGGCCCAAGCAGACAGAAAGCAUAAUUAACUAUUUUACACCAACCCUGUGAAAGCUGAGUGUAGAGCUUGCAUCUGAAGCACUGAAGUUGGAAGCAGGAGAGAUUUUGCCCAGGACAAGGUACGGGGGCACAGCUAAGUAUGCUCCCCUUGAUACCUGUGACCCAUGGAUGGUGCUACCCAGGCCCCUGGCUAAAGGGGAGACAUUUCAUGGGGAACAAGAUUACCAUAGAAUCACCAAGGUUGGAAAAGACCUCUAAGAUCAUCCAGUUCAACCAUCCACCUAUCAUUAGUAUUUCCCACUAAACCAUGUCCCUCAGUACAACAUCUAAAUGUUUCUUGAACUUCCAGAGAUAGUGACUCCACAAAGCUCCCUGGGCAGCCUGUUCCAGAGCCUGACCACUGCCUUGGAGAAGAAGCAUUUCCUCAUAUCCAACCUGAAUCUCUCCUGGAGCAACUUGAGGCCAUUCCCUCUCGUCCUAUCACUAGUUACACGAGAGAAGAGGCCGACCCCCAGCUCAUUACAACCUCCCUUUAGGUAGUUAUAGGGAGCGAUAAGGUCUCCCCUGAGCCUCCUCUUCUCCAGACUGAACAAUCCCAGCUCCCUCAGCUGCUCCUCAUAAGGCCUGUGCUCCACACCCCUCACCAGCUUUGUUUCCCUUCUCUGAACACACUGCAGGGCCUCAGCAUCAUUCUUGUAGUGAGGGGCCCAAAACUGAAUGCAGUACUCAAGGUGCAGCCUCACCAGGGCUGAGUACAGAGGGAAUUUCCACAACUGACUGGUGGAGAAUCAGGAUGUGCUGCUUAUGUGGGCAUUCAGAGUGCCUGAGUGGUGUGCACGAUUUACACACACAGCCCCUCCAUGUACCAGAGCUUUGCAGUGAGAAGAUAUGAAAGUGUCAGAGGGAUGGGAAAAAGGGAAGGGAGGAGCUGGGAAGUGCCCAUGUAUUCAUCCCACAUUUCAACCUCUGAGGAUGUUGUUCUGUACUUCCUAUCCACAUCCUACCAUCUCAAAGCAGCUGAGUCAGUCUGCUAGAGCUUUCAUGCUGCUAGCAAGACAGCCACAGGCAGAUCCAUUUCACAUCGAAUGCAACAGCUCAAUCAACCCUUUUGUGAGUGAAAGGUAAGAAAAAAAAAAAAAAGCAACGAUGCUUUGUUUCUGAUACAAAACGUAGUGGAAGUUUGGUCUGGCAUCCCUUGAGCGUAGCCCCUAUGUUGCAAGUAUGCCAGAGAUGUUUGCAACUGCUCCAAAUUCCAGCCCAGCUGCAUGCACACUGAGCUCUGCAGGAAUGGAGCUCCCAAUUGACUGGUUCUAUACCAUGCAAGAAACUUAGGAAACUGUAGAAAAUUUGGAAAAUUUUAUUGCAAAUUUGCAAAUCCUACAAAGCCUGGAUAAAUUGCAGGCACAGCCCAACACAGGUGCAAUGAAGUUGCGGCUGCUUUGCAUCCCAGAUCCUUCCUGGGAGUGCAGUAGAACUGAAUAGUUGCUCUGUCACGUCCUGGCAACGACUGAGAAGUUAAAAGGCUCUGGCAGGCGAUGAGUCCUUGAUUGCCCCAGUUUUACCAGCCUGAAAUAGGUUAUUGUCCUUUCCUCUCUGGUGCUAACAAGCUGCCUCUGUAAAAACCCUUCUCCCUCUGGUGCUGGGACACUCAUUCUAGAGUUUGCAAGACCAUUAGAAAAAUAGUCUCCUGCUGAAUUGCCAUCAGUCUUUACAAGCAGAGUUACUCAAAAGGAAAGGAGCAGGACAAAUGGAGAGUGGGAGAACUAGGAACUGGAUGAAGUAUUCUGCGGAUACCCCUUAGCAAUGCAGUGCUGGUGGCUGCUGCAGGCUCCAAAGAAUGGUCAAUGUUCGUAUCAUUCCACUUCGGACCAUGGGUAGGAAUGCAGAGCCAGCUAUGGAAUGGAGCCCCUCGGGGAACACAGACUCCACUGAGCAUCAUGCUGGCAUCUCCCUCCCUGCAAUAUUGUCAGCAUAUUAUCUCAUUCUCAUGCAUACACAAGCUUGCAGCGCCUUGAGCCUGGAAGUCCACAGAUACUGUUUCUGCGAGUGGAUGGUGGUAGAGCAAUCACAUACAGUAUGCAUGACUGUUGUAUUUACUGUUAAUGCUGUAGCUGUUUCUCCUGUUGCUCGUAGCCUUUACUGAAUAUAGGGGAGGAUGGGAGAGUAGGACAAUAGUGCUGUAGCUUUCUGAUCUUUGUAUUUCAUGCAAUUACUCGGUUCUUACAGGUGUGCUGGAGUUGUGUGUGGGGGGGGUUAUAUUGGUCUCUGGCUCUAUGACACAGUAGUGGCUGCAAGGGGACUGAGUCCACGCAUCUCAUCCCCAUAAAUACAGCUGCCAGCCCAUGGUUCCCCCAUCUGCUUGUUUCUACAAGCUGCUAUCACGUUUACAUCCAUUCAGGUAUUAGCAUAAAAACAUAUAUGCCCAGGCCACUGCAAAGCUAUGCAAUUUCUACCACUUCCUUUCUAUAGGGAUCAAAGUAACCUGCUGCAGUCUUUUGUCGCUACCUACUUACAAUAGCCAGACCACAGAACCAAGCAGCAGGCUCUCCUUGCUAGUGGACUGAAGAUAACCACAGCGACUGUGGGAACAGCUAGCGACUCAGAGGAAGAACAGGGAAAGACACACAGGAACCUGGUGAGAGCAGGACCCUUCCGGUUCCCGUCCAGCAAGUCACUGGCCUGAGAAGCAUUUGCUUUCUAGGCAACCGCCAGCUGAGGUGCCUGUGGAGAAGGGCCACAGAGAUGAAUAAAAGCCACCCUGGGAGUGUGUCUCCUUGCCUAGAUGAACAGCAACACCUGCCCAGCACUCCCCUCUGCAAUCCACAUGGAUUUGAGCAACUCAGAAAAACACUCAUGUGGCCAAGUCCCAUCUACAAACAGGAAGUUUUUGUAAUUUACCACUGGAGACAUUUGAUGGGAGACAGGUUAAGCCUGAUGAAAAGAAGAGAUAACGGAAACCAAAGAUUCCUUAUGCUGUGUAUGAACAACUGAAGCCCUCAGCAAAUUUCUGUGCCAUGGAGAGUAAGGGUUUCUAGGGGAAAAAAAAAAAGCAAAAAAACCACCCUAUCCCAACAACCAACACCCAAAUCUGUUACUUUAUCUAUGGCUUUAUUAUACAUUAAAACUGCUUGCAAAAACCCAGUAGGUCACCAAAAUAACAAGGAAGGCAGAUCUUUAAAAUCUGUUCACUCCUCCUAUAGUUGGCUGGGUUCCCAUGCAUAAACUGAACUGGUUUUACAUCUCUAGAGGGAAAGUCAUUUUGAAUGAGCCUUCACCCCCAGUGAGGUGGCUUUAGAUUGGUUCCCCCUGGGAUGACUUCCCUUUCAGAUGCAGACUGUGAAAAAGCCAGACUGAGGAGAACAAGAGAAAAAGCAUUUUGUAUGCCAUGGUAGUUUGUUCUGUAGACUUUGCACCCCUUUGCUCAAAUGCAGUCCUAGCCAGAGCAGACUCAAUUAGGCCUCAUUUCAGAUUUC